GCAGCAGGCAAGUCGGGAAGCCGUUUAGAGGUGGCGAAAACAGUGCCCCCUUGCCCCGUCUUGGAGACGGGGAAACCAGUCAAGAUCCCCCAACGCCCUUAUCACCAGCACGGGGCCACGUGUGAGAAAACCGAGGCCUCUAAGAGCGAAGGCUCGGGGGCUUCCCUGGCGGCGCAGUGGUUAAGAAUCCGCCUGCCAACGCAGGGGACACGGGUUCGAGCCCUGGUCCGGGAAGAUCCCACGUGCCGCGGAGCAACCAAGCCCGUGCGCCACAACUACUGAGCCCGUGCUCUGGAGCCCACGAGCGACAACUACUGAGCCUACAUGCCACAACUACUGAGGCCCGCGCACCUUAGAGCCUGUGCUCCACAAAGAGAAGCCACCGCAAUGAGAAGCCUGCGCACAUCAACGAAGAGUAGCCCCCGCUCGCCGCAACUAAGAGAAAGCCCGUGCGCAGCAACGAAGACCCAACACAGCCAAAAAUAAAACGUGAAGGUCCUUCUGGCUCUGCAGAAAGCCUUGGCCUGGGAUGUACCGGUCCCUGCCUUUUCCUCAGCAGUAAAGGAGUCUAGGCAGCGUUACCCCAGGCCCCGUACCUGCGAGAGGAUGUCCACCAGGGCCUUCUGGGGCUGCUCCUGCAAAUGGUUGUAGUGCUGGCCCAGGACUUGCAGCAGCUUCACCGAUUG